AACGUAGGUUCCGAGCGUUAUCCGGAUUUACUGGGCGUAAAGCGCGUUCAGGCGGUUUGGCAAGUCGGGCAUGAAAUCUCUCGGCUCAACCGGGAGAGGUUGUCCGAUACUGCUGGACUUGAGGGCAGUAGAGGGUGGUGGAAUUCCGGGUGUAGUGGUGAAAUGCGUAGAUAUCCGGAGGAACACCAGUGGCGAAAGCGGCCACCUGGACUGUACCUGACGCUCAAACGCGAAAGCUAGGGGAGCGAGCGGG
rnacentral:rRNA from 1 species